CCCUCGGCUGCACUAGCGCCGCGAUUAUGCUACAGCCAUUCCGUAUAAGGCUAUAAAUUGCCCAUCCUAAAACCCUCUGUCUUCAUCCUUCCGCUUCAUUUAGAUCGGGUUUUGGUUCCAUCUUCGUCGCAGAUGUGACGAUUCACUGUUAUCGGGGCGAGCAAUCGGUGUGCUUGUAUAACCCGUGUGUAAAAAUUGUCACAGAUCGAGCUUCCUUUGUCGAGGGGGAGUGGAUGAGACGGUUCAUACCGUUUCUUCCUCUUCUACAGUCCGAAGGGGGCGAUCUCAUAUCCUAUCGUCUUGGAGAGCAGAUUCUCUGCGGUGACCUCUUGGGCUUGGCCAUGAGAAAUACAUUCAUUCUUCAAUACAUAUAUAUAUAUCUUUGCAUUUUGUCUCAUUCGUGUUUAGCAACUGAUUGAUGAUUUGGCCUGUGAAGAAAUAUUCAUUAAAAUUACACCAUCUUUCGGGACUGAAUGGCCUAAAGGCCUUGCUGUUAUUCUGCAAUUCUGAGGCCUUAUUUUAUC